CUUCCGAUCUCUCCACCCAGACUCAUCCAUUUUCGAUUUGAUAGAGAGUUUCUGUUGGCGCUGAUGUUGCCCUGAAUAAAUUAGGGUGUUCAAAACAAGCUUUAUAGCUUUGAAUAUAUUAGCAUGGUAUUACGAAAUAUGACACAUCGACCGCAGGUUUUGUAGUGCUUGCACACAAGGUUCGAUAUGUAAUGAGAAAAGGGAAUUGUUGGGGUUACCUUUAUUCACUGGGAAGAGGUGAAAUUCUAUGAUCCAGUGAAGAAACACUAAUGCAAAAGCACUUAACCAAGAUGUUUUUGUCAGUCAAGGACGAAAGUUCAGGGCGCGAAGAUGAUUAGAUACCAUCGUAGUCUGAACAGUAAACAAUGUUGAUUUAGGAUCAGAAAUCAUUUAUUAUGACUUUUCUGGCACUAUACGAGAAAUCUAGAAUAUUCGAACUCUGGGGGUAGUAUAGUCGCAAGACCGAAACUUAAAAGAAUAGACGGAAGAGCACCACCAGGCGUGGAACCUGCGGCUUAAUUUGACCCAACGCGGGAAAACUCACCAGGACAGGACAUAAAAAGGAUUGACAGAUUGAUAGCUCUUUCAUGAUAGUAUGAAAGGUGGUGCAUGGCCGUUUUUAGUUGGUGGUUUGAAUUGUCUGGUUAAUUCCGAUAACGAACAAGACCUUUUCCUGCUAUUUAGCUUUGGAGGGUCUAAUAAACACGAUAAAAUUUAUUUUAUCGUAUACUUUGGUAUUUAAAAUAAGCUUCUUAGAGGUACUCUUUUUGUUUGUGAAACAAUUAAAAGGAAGAAAGACAAUAACAGGUCUGUGAUGCCCUUAGAUGUUCUGGGCUGCACGCGCGUUACAAUGAAAUAUCCACAUAGUAAACCAAAUUAGACAUAAUUAAGGAAACCUCAAAAACUAUUUCGUGAUGGGGAUAGUGUUUUGCAAUUAUCGCACUUGAACGAGGAAUGCCUUGUAAGGAUGUGUCAUCAACGCAUCCUGAAUACGUCCCUGCUCUUUGUACACACCGCCCGUCGCUCCUACUGAUUGAAUUUUGUGAUAAGGACCUUGGACGGUCGAGUUUGUUUUUAAGGGGACAAGAUAAUCACCCUUGGGUGGUUAUCCUAUUGAAAUUUGUUCGAAUCUUGCAAUUUAGAAGAAGGAGAAGUCGUAACAAGGUCUUCGUAGGUGGACCUGCGGAGG
rnacentral:rRNA from 1 species